AAUGUCGUAACAAGGUUUCCGUAGGUGAACCUGCGGAAGGAUCAUUAUCGUAGGGGCUUCGGCCCUGUCGGAGAUAGAACCCUUGCCUUUAUGAGUACCGUCCGUUUCCUCGCAGGUCCGCCGUCGCCUGCAUGGACCCUGAAAAUCCAAAAGCCCAAUUUUCCAUUUCACCUACGUUGUACAGGUCUGAAAAAAAGUUAAAAUCAAAAAAAGUUUAAAAAAGC
rnacentral:misc_RNA from 1 species